rnacentral:rRNA from 1 species
UACGUAGGGGGCAAGCGUUGUCCGGAUUUAUUGGGCGUAAAGAGCGUGUAGGCGGCUUGACAGGUCUGCUGUGAAAACUCGAGGCUCAACCUCGAGAUGUCGGCGGAAACCGUCUGGCUAGAGUCCGGAAGAGGAGAGUGGAAUUCCUGGUGUAGCGGUGAAAUGCGCAGAUAUCGGGAAGAACACCCGUGGCGAAGGCGGCUCUCUGGGACGGUACUGACGCUGAGACGCGAAAGCGUGGGGAGCGAACAGG